CCACACACAACACACACACACCCCGCCGUCACCCCGCCGUGCCCCCUCCCCUCCCCGCGCUGUCCCGCUCGGUGCGGGGCUCUGCUCUGCGCACUGGCGGUGCCGCUGACGGGCGGCCGCGGCGCGGUGCCCUUAUUGGUUUGAAAUUCCAUUAAAUAUAUUGCAAGAGCGCCUAGGUUAAGCUUGAUUUAAAUUUGCAUACAUUUUCAUAUAUUUAGCAGAAAUAAAAGAAGGCUUGCAGCUACCAGAAAGUCAUUAAGGCAUUAGUUUCCCUGAGAAGACAGAUCUGAAGAAAAUGCAAGAAAAUGAGAAAAUUGAUAGAAAGCAGGUGGAGCUGAAUACAAUGCCUGCAUUUGUGGCUAACUCCAAGCAAUACAUUAUGAAGAUGAUGUUAUUCAGACACACACCCAAACAAUUUGAUUCAGACAAAUUGGAUACGAGACUUUGACCAGCAUGAGAAGAACAGGUUUAUGUUUUCGUUGAGAUCUGUGUAUGACUGCAGCCAGAGACUUGCACCACCACAAAACAGAUUUGCUGCUUUCCUUCCAACUGAGUGAGUGACCCCAGGACAGUGGGGGAAUAUUUCCCACCCUGGGAAGACUCAGAGCAGGGAUGCAGUCCUGAAAGGAGCUGCGAGCAGUCCCAGGACAUGCUGACAGUGGAACUGGUACUGCUGCAAAGAGAAGGGAAUAACGCCCCACCUCCCCAAAGCACACAUCAGCUAUAAUUACUUUGCUUUUAAAGUAAUCUGGGAAAAAUGGGGGAAUGAGAAAGAGAGAAAUGAAUUCUCUGCUCAGUUUUAAAGCAGCAAGACUUUAAGUAAUUUCUGUGCAACAUGUUAAUUAAUAUUCCCAAAGAGCUGUAAAGAUAAUGUAGAGGAUAAAUUCUUCAAACUGUAGGUGACCAACAGAAAUGUGAAUGGAUAUAUGAUACUGCCUCUGCUUUGGCUUGUCAGCUGAUAAAUUGCAUUAAAAGUGGUGCAGACGCAUGAAGGAUUUCUGCAAUACUUUGUUCUCAACUGUAAGCAGUUGUAAUUGCUGUAGGGAGGUUAUGCUGCGCUGUAGGGCACGGAAGGCAGUACUGUGAGGGUAUGCUGGAAAAAAAGAUUUCAGUCCCAAAUGGAUGAAACCUGAGAUUUAAAUGCAUGUCUCAACCCUGUACUGUGGAUUUUCAGGGAGAAAACAAACUGAAUGGUAUUAGUACUGCAUUGAAUCUAUUUGUUCUGUGGAUCAAAAGCUGGAUAUUUUCCUUGCUCCUGUGUAAUUUUAUUGAAGAGAAAUUGUAGAAAGCUUUUGCCUUAGCAUUUUGUCCCAGCUUUUUCAGUGCUUCAAGGGAUUGAUAUAGGUUACAUAGCUGGCUUUCAGGCUAGUCUUUCCCUCACUAGCCCUUGCAAUUCAGUGGGACUGAUGGAUUAUAGCUCUUCAGAAAUCAGAUCUUAAAUUGGCUGAAUUGUGUAUAUUUUGCCCUCAACCUACAACGCAUAGCUUGAAAAUAAUCACAAUAAAGAAAAACAACAACACCAAAACAAAGAAGCAAAAAAGCCCACAAAAACAAAACAAAACAAAACAAAAACUAUAUAAAAUUGUCUCUUUAUUUGAAGGUACUUUAAUAUUGAAAGAGACUUUCUUCAAGCUAAGCAAACAUUUGUUUCUGAACUAAAAAUGUUUGUUGUGAGGUUUUAUUAGAUGUUAGUGCAGAUGUUAGUAAUACAGUGCUGGUAAUUUUGGAGCUCAUAGUGUUUUCAGCAGUGGAAGACCCCAUUGAGCAGUAUGUCACUGUGCAGGCAUGGGUUUCUCACUCUGUUCUGGGAACCCCAACCUGCUGCCCAAGGUUGUUAGAGAGAAACAACAGUGAUGAACUGAUAUUUUGGGUCAUAAUUGUUCAUUUCAAAGAGUAUUCAUGUUAAAGGUAAUGUUGGGCAAACCCUUGGGUCACUGGAGACUCCUAUUUUUGUUGGACAUGAGGGAAGUAGAAAGAUAUAGUGUGGAUCUCAGCCUCUAACUGCUGCACAGUCCUCAUGUACACUCUGCAGUACACUGUUGAAUGUUGUAGUUAAGAGAAAUGAUCACUAGAGAUUUCAAGAGAGAUGGAGAAAGGUUCAGGCAAAUCGAGAACAGCCAAAACUGGUGGAGAAACUGGUUUCAUGAUAUGAAACAAAGUUCAUCAAAUAGCAAAGAAGAACUGAUGUUUAAGGCAAUGCUUUUUUAUAUCCAGAGACAGCCAGCCCCGGUGCUUUCAAAGUAAUUGUAAAGUUGAAUCUGGGAAAAGCCUUGAAGGGAACAGCAGAGCCACCUAAGAAAGACAGCGGAGGAAUGUGACAGUGAACUCUGGGAAGAAAACAGAGUGCCACGAAGAGGGGGAACACUUGGGCACCUGUUGUGACAGCUGUGACUGAGCACACGAUGACCAGAUCAGAGUGAAUAAUGAGAGAAUCUGCUCAUUUAAGAGUGUAUACACAAACUCAGCAGGGACAUGAAACUGUUUUGCUUUGUUUUACUGAUAAUGUGUUAUUGGAGUCAUGUCUCUGGCUGUGUCCUAGAGUAGGUUCAAAACGAUUACUUAUGUAACACAGGAUAUAUUUAAGUCUGGGAGGAGUGGUAGGGGAGAAACGCAUGUAUCUCAAUUUCUGGUUUGGAAGCAAAAUGAAAUUAUGUUUUUCUGAAUGAAUUUAUUGAUUUCCAUUUAACUAACACAGGGAUAUCCAUCUCAAGGUCUGGGCUGCCUUUGGAAAAUUUGAUCUGUGAAGUAAUUGCUGAGUCAGAUUAAACUAUUUACAUCUCUUAUCAGAUCCUGGUUCAUCCCCUAACCCAUCACUCUAAAAAUAGCCUCCAUAAAAAUAAUCUCAGUCCCAACUGCAAAAGUUCAUGCCCGUCUCUGAGUGGCUUCAGCCUGGGAGGAAAUUUUGGCUGAUCCAUGGCCAUGGGGCUCCUUCUCCUUGUAAUGCCGUGCUUUAGAAGGCGGUAGGCAUGUUCUGGAUUAGUUUGGGAUUAAAGAGCACAAUUUUUAAGUGACAAAUGCAUGCUUCUGGCAAAAUAACACCAUAAGUGAGCAGCAAAUGAAAUUUCUUUCAUAUAUAGAGCAGAGUAAUAUGCAGGACAACAUAAGGGAAAACAAAAGGGAAAACAGAGCCAUUCUUUGGUCACCAAGAAACAACACAAUCUAAUACAACUGCCCACACUGACAAAUAAUAGCAUUUUGUGCGAGAAUAAUCACUGCUGCAUUGAUUGAAAGUGAAAACCUUAUUGAGGAACUUUGACUACGAGGACAAGGCGUGUGGAAUGUAAAUACCUGGGUGCAGCCAACCAGCACAAAAUGUAUUUGGAGAGAGCCUACUGGAAUGCACUGCGCUUACAGAUCAUCAUGCACAAGCAAUAAAUUACUGGACGGUUUGCCAACUAAUUUGGUGGAGGUAUAAAUUCUUUAUCUAUUAAUCAAUGUGGGGAAGCAUAAAGCACCUAUAAGCCAUUCAUCUCACUUUAGCUUCUUGUUUAAAUUUAAUUAGCGUUGGUCUGAUUUCACUAGAAAAAGUGGCGGUACAUUUGAAUAUAGAGGUGUCAAACAGAGUAUCUGGGUUAGCACUGAUGGUGUGAAGUCUUAGGGCCACGAGUCACACUGGUUGGACAUUUUUCUCCAAAGUGAACAGCCAUAAAAAAUCCUUGCAGGGAGACCCUUCACUCAUAAGCAGAAAACAAACACCCAGCAGGUGCCAGCACCUUGCCGGUGUGAAUGGCAUUUGUAGCAUCGUGAACCAGUUCAGUUCUGUCUUGUGCCUGCAGGUUUUUCUCCUCUCUGAGCAGUCUUUUUUCCCAUUCCUUUAUUUUUAUGUAUAUAUAUAAGAAUGAUAACAAUUAGAGAAACUUAAUUUCUUCAGGCUUUACACUUACCCUGGCUUUUUCUACUGCUAUCUGUGUUGAAAUUUUCAUUAACUGCACAAAGACAAGAGUUAGACCAAUGCUAUUUUCUCAGCUCUCACACAGAUUUGUUUCCUUUUUCUUCCCAUAAUUUCCACAAGGAUUGUGAAUAAAGCAGUAAUCCAUGUACCCAGUUAUGGUAUGCCUUAUAGUGUGUAUACAGUAUGUGAUACAGAGAGUUGCAACAGCAACUGUAGAAAGCCCCAGUGGGCCGCUUGCAAAUCAUUUCAUGUCGGCGUGACUUUAAAUCAUUUAAAACAUUUACUUCUUAUUUUUAAUAAGAGAAUUCUUUGAAAUGCUAUUUUUUAAUUGAGAAAAAAAAAAAAAAAGGAAAAUUCAAUGCUAAGCCUUAGAGUCAUCCAUGCAAGACUUGAAAAUUGCAGCUUCACUAAAAAGCAUGCACUAAAUAUGAUAUACAUUGAUGCACGCUUAUUAGGGAUAAAUACUGUUCUCUUGGUAGUGCCUAGAAACCUUAAUUAAUUUCAGAUAGGCCCUAUUUUUGUCCACGCAUGCAGAUUUCAAAUCUGCGCCUUUGCCGAUUUUGACACGGUGCGAUGAUGUCUCCUAGCUUUCAGAUGUCUGGCUCUUAGAGUUGUGAAAUGAUAUAACAAAUGAAAACAACAGUUCCAGCCUCGUCAAUCUAGUUUUCAGUGGACAGAUGCCCUGGCGCUAGAAAAGCACCAUCCCAUGCAAUACCUCUUGGCAGCCUCCAAAAAAAGCCUGAAAUCUCCUAGACACCAAAGUAAAGCUGGCUCCUCACACCGAAAAAAGUCUUGUUUCUGUCCAUGCUGCAGCUCCUGCAAGGGAGGUGUGUAUAACGUCUGUGUGUGCUGUGCCUGAUUUGUGCACCAGUAUGUGAUUUCUGGUCUCUAGGAUAAUCAAUCCGGUCUGCUUCUGGAGCACGGUGCCUCUGGACAGUGAUAGAUUAAUGGGUGAAGGUUCAGAAUGGUGCGCUGAGGUUUCUGGAAUAAGCUGGGUCGAUUGUUACAGUUUGUAGAUUGCAUCAUUAAUUAAUUAAAUGGUAUAAUUAAUUACGGAUUUAAAUAUUUUAUCGGAUGCUUAUCCAGAGGGAGCUGCUUAAACCAGCUAAGGAAAUGUGAGGCUCUGGGCUUCCCUGGGUCCGACCAACACAUGUCCAUGGCACCACACAAAUGGAGGCUAAUCCUGGAGACCCCAGCACAGCUGGCACAGCUUUGCAGAGCAGUACCUGCCACGUAGUACAUAUCAUACUGAAAGUCUUGCAACAUUGGCUUAAAAACAUCCAGAAGUCAUGGAAUUCAUUGUACAGAACAGUGUCUGGGACUGAAAAAGAAGACAGUGAAUUGUUUUGGUACAGAUGAGGUUUUCUUUUGGCUAAUGAUUUGUUUUUAAUGUCGCACACGGUACUGCAAGAACUUGCAUCAUUCAGGCUUUUUUAAUGAAUUUGUAUUGCUUGCAUAUUAGUAGGAAUAUUUCCACUGCAGCAAACACCAUAAACAGUUUCCACACUGGGGUAUGUUAUACUGCCACCAGAAUUGGUUCUUCUGAUGGUUCAUUUCUUUUAUGCUGUGAAUUCAGGACCAAUUCAGCUUGGUUUUAUGCAUCAUUAGAGAUUUACAAUUACUUUGCUAUAGUUUCUUUCUGGAAGCCUAUCUCUCAUGGUUAAUGCUAUGGGAGCCCUGUUGUGUAGAGGCUGGUAUUAGCCACCUUAUAGCAAUAAAGCGUUUCAGAAGGAUUUAGAAUUAUGAGUGCCUAAAUUCUCCGUGCAGUGACUGUAAUGCUGUUAUCCCUUGCUGAGCUUGGGUUGAAACACUUUUUUUCUCCUGCUCAAAUUAGAAAAAAAAACUGCUGUUUCUUCAAGAGGUUUCGAAUCAUUUACAUGUAAUUUUUUUGUUGAACUACAGCAGUCGGGAAAGAGAAAUUGUGAGAAAUUCCAUUUGGCUUUCAUGAUGCUUAAAAUACAUUUAUAUUGCAUUAGUACAUAAUGAAAUAAGGCCUCCUCAUUUUUUAUCUCACUUUUUAAAAGUGUAAUCAUUAUUUGGGAUUUUUCUUUGUGUUUUAGAUUUUAUGUGUGCAACCAACUCAAUAAAUUCCUCAAGGUUUGUGUUUGGAGAAUGAGCAUGAGCUGUAAUCCACAACAUUCGUGUUUUAGAGAAAUACACUCACACACUGAAACAAACAUGAUACAUGGUGAAUAAUAAGGGCCCGAUCUAAAGCCCAUUAAAAUCAAUGAAAAGAUUUCAAAUUAACUUUUAUAGCCUUUAGAUCAGGCUCUAAAUGGGCAAAUUACAGUUAUGGAGUUUCCCAUUUACAUACCUGUGCGAUGCACUUAAUAUAUUUUAUGGAAUUGAAAUUACUUGGUACUCUUUUUCAUGCUUUUUUAGGAUAAGAAUUUGCCAAGGGCAUCAACAGCAGUUUUCCCAGGCUUCAGAACGAGGAUUAUAGAGUCAAUCCACAAAUGACUCGAAUCUGAAAAAAUGGACGUGGUUAUCAGAGGGACUCUGACAACGGCGAGGUCGGGAGUGCGUUUUGUAUCAGACAUCCUUACCGCAUCUCAUGAGCGCACUCAGGGCAUCAGCAUGGACCGCUGGUCUGGGGGGAUUGUGUAGGACUUCUAGGGGAAUAUGUGCAAGGUCUCACCCUUGAGCCGUUUUAAAUAGAUCAAAUCUUAUGUGAGGUUAGAAAAAGGACUAAUGGCACUGUCAAAAAUGAGGGAGGGAUUCAAGCAUCGCAGGGAAUUCUGAAAUCCUCUGUAAGAAGCUGGUAAUCUUUGUUCUUUUACAGCACUUCUUGAAUCCCACUGAGAAGGCAGUGGGCUCAUCUCUGCAUCUGUGCUAUCUGCUGCCUCCGUCAGCACCAGAAAGGAAUGCCCCUACCUGCUCCUCGUAAUUAAAAACCCCUUUGGAGCAGCACUAGAAAUAAGCCACUGCGGUAUCUGAUUGAACCUCUUAAAGAACUGUCACUGAUCACCUUCUCUGCUCUUGAUGGAAUAUAUUUAUGCAUUAUAAAUACACUUCCUGUGUGUAUGCCCCAUAAAUCACAUUUAGCACUUGUAUAUGAUGUAUAAGCAUCUUCUAUAGAAUACACAGAAAUACAGAUGCCAAACUCCCACAGAGUUCAUCACUGGAAAAUGUUUGAAGGAUCUGAUCCUUAAUAUUUAAUGAGGAAGAUGCUAUUUCCUUCCUUGGCUUUUAUCUCUGGUUUGGCAUAGUCAUUAAAUUUCUUGUUUCCUUGCAAGGUUAUAUAAUUUAUGACCUAAUUUUAGACUUUCGUGUAACUGCUCUCAAAUACAGAGUAUCCAAAUUUCUUUCUAUGGAGUGUUUCGGCAUCAGACAACAGCUAGAACAUGACUGCUAUGAGAAAUGUCAUUAAGGAGUUGCAGGCAUCAGAGGAACACAGCACAGCAACACUCAGAUAGCAUUACAGGAUCGUGUUAUAUUUUUAUUUUUUCCCCACAAAAUAUGAUUUAGCAUCAUUUCCACAUCCCACCAUGUGCAGUGCCUGGCAGGAAUCCCCAGGUAAUACAGUAAUUGCCCAACAACUGCUAUUACUUAAAAUAUUUUCUUGCAGCAGCUCCUGGCUUUCAGGCCUCUCUGGGACAAAUUCACGUGGCCCCAGGUGGGGAGGGCUGGGGAUGCUGGGAAGGUGAAGGAGGACAGGGAGGGCUUCAACCCUGAUCCCUUGCCCACAGAGCAGCCAAAUGCUGGCAGACACCAAUUUUUGGCAGCAGAGGGAAGGUUCACGCCUGCCACAGGGCUCCAGGCAGCAUCGCUUCCAACCUGCCGCUCCCAGCCUGUGGCUGAGCCUUUGGCUUCACUCUGGGCUUUGGGGAGCAAGAACACCUUUGCUGGGCCACGCUCCACAGCUCAAGGUGUUGCCAGACAGCUUCUAAAUGAAUUGCACAAAAACUGCAGCCAUGGGGUUUUGUGUCGGCUCGAUGUCCACACUAAUUCAGCGGUGUCAUAAGUAGCACUGUGAGUUUCAGGUGUUUCGUCAAUUUAAAUUGUACUUCUCAGACCAGUCUUUCAUCAGGGUUAAUAUAGUGGCGAUUGUGUUAAUGCACUUUGAGAGCACUUUGUUUGGGUGUUUAAGGAGGACGAGUUCUCUGUCAAGGAUGGGGUUGGAUGCUUGCCUCAAGCCCAGGGUAGCAAAUGGAUGGGAUUGGGGCAUGCAGCUCUGCAUUACCAACACAGCUUCAUGCAGGGUGGGGUGGUGUAAGGAAAAUCAUCCCUAUGGAAAGGUGACUUUAUUUCUUGGAAUAAGAAAGGCUGGACAGUACAUCUGUCUGGCCUUAAUGGAGCGGUUCCAGGAAAGCGGCAGCGACCAAAGUGUUUUCAGUAUCACAUAAUUCAAGAGUAAAAUCAUAGUUCCAAUUACCAUUUCAGCCAUUUCUGGCCUUGGGAAACCUAUGCUAAUAUUUAUUAUUAUAUGAUUGACCUAUGAUUUCUUCAUCAUUUACAUUAGCAACUAUGAUAUUCAUAGUAAUGUCCUUUAAAUCACAUAAGCAGAUGUCAACAGUGCAUGAUGAAGUCACACCCUGCAGAUUUUUUAUUUACUUAGUCCAUUUUUUUCCUGAUAGAAUAACACUGUGAGAUGCAUAAUCUCACCUCCAAAAGGCCUCUAGGGGCAUAUAUAAUCACGGAAUACAUUUUCUAUAAUCUCACAAAAUGAGUAAAUUCUAUCUGAGAUACAAACAGUUGUACAAAGUCAGUAUUUCACUUCCAUCACUGCCUGACAUCAUCUUCUGCAAAGCUCAAGAAAACAUUUACUUGGCUCUUUGACAUGAGUUGCCACAAAGCCUUUGCAACAAAAUAUUAAGGAGAGUGAGGAAGUAAAAUAGGUGAUGUGAUUUAAGAACUUCCUUAGCCUCUGUUCUAUGUGCAGGAAUUAGAUCUGUACAUUUGUCAGAUGCUUCACAAUAGCCUGACUGGCCGUAUGCACCUCCAGUCUCCUCUCUUCUGUGACCCGCCCAUGCACAAACUGGAUUCAUAGAAUCAGUAAGGUUGGAAAAGACCUCUAUGCUCAUUGAGUCCAGCUGUCAGCCCAUCCCCACCAUGCCCAUAACCAGGUUGCUCAGUGCCACAUCUCUAUUUUCACCUCCAGAGAUGAUGACUUCCCCACCUCCCUGGGCAGCCCAUUCCAGUGCCUAUACACUCUUUCAGAGAAGAAAUUUUUCCUAAUGUCCAACAUGCACCUCCCCUGCUGCAACUUGAGGCCAUUGCCUCACAUUCUGCCCUACCUCUCAUUCUAAGUUGCACAUAACAACAACAUCUAGAAGCUGGUCGUCUUUCAUUAUUAGUAUUACUAUUGCUAUUAUUAUGCACAAGUGAGCAUCUCUGUGUUAGAAUGAAGACACGGCUCUGGUUUCCAGGAAGCAUUCUGAGACAAGCUGUCUCUGAUGCACCCUGCAGCACAGAGCAGCCGUGUUUGCCUCCGGUGAGCGGCAGAAGCUGCUCCCAGGAGUGCCCUGGCUUUGAUCCAGGUGUGGAAUAAAGGCUGUGUAUCUCAGCUGCACCUCGUGGGGGCAUGCUGAAGGCUGGCCCACGCUCCCCGCCCCCCACCUUUUCUGCUAAAUCCACAUCUGCUUAGGUCUACUGGCACCAAUCUCCUUGCACACAUCUUCUUAUUCCAUACAGGCUGUAUUUCUCAUGGGUUCUCAAAUCAUUUUCUCUCCCCUCACACUUCCCAGUGCCAUCAGGCCAUUCUGGACUGCUAUUUCAUUGCUUCCUUACCGAAGAUAAAUUCUUCCAGCCUCCUGUUGUCCUAAUUACUUACCUGGCUCAGCAGGUUUAGGAUGGUUCUAAUAGAAAUGUGUGCUGUGUUGUCCCAAGAACUCAGGUCAGUGGCUUUACUCACCCUGUGCAGCAGGAACCUCUACUCCCUGGUCAUGAAGUACUGAAAAUCAUAGAAUUGUUUGAGUUGGGAGGGACCCUUGAAGACCAUCACUCCAAAUCCCCUGCAGCGAGCAAGGACACCUGCAGCUCCAUCAGGUGCUCAGAGCCCAACCAGCCUUUACAUUGAGUGUCCCCUCAUUUCUACAUGCAAGGAAGGUGAAAAGGUCAGAAUAGCACCACGUCAUGUUUCUGAAGACUGGCACUGUACAAUAGUGAGUAGAAGUUCCUGUAUCGAGGUACGUUACACACACAGAACCAAACACCUGCAGUGAACCUCCUCAGGCAAAAUUCACACUGACUUCAAUAGCAUUUAUUUCAAGAAGGGCUGCUGGCUGCGCACAGGGCAUGGAACAUAUUCCUGACUUAAGAGGCAUUUAUAAUCUACUGGUAAGAGAUUUAUUAGCAAUGUAAGAAUGAUUUUUAAGCAAGCAAAGUAUCCUUCCUAGAAGAAAAAUACUGCCAGUGAAAUUACCUUUGCUGUCAGAAGUAACUUGGGUAAGCCCCUGUGAUUAGGGAUGUUGUUGUUGCCCCUUAUCGUACCAAAGCAAACAGUGUAAAAUACUUUGAACUUUGUAAACAGUUGUUUCCAAAGUGGUGUGUUUUAUGGUUGUUUGUUUGUUUUUCUACUACAAAAUGUUAAGAGAAAACUGGUUUCUAAUCCUUUUACAGCUCAGCUUCUUCCCAUUCUUCAUAUUCCUUUCUUUUCCUUCCUUGGGCUUUAACAUUGCUUAGAUGUUAUAACAUCUCCUUUAAGGGUAAAUGUAGAGCUUUUGCUAAGAUUGCAAAAAGGAAUUCUUUGAGCUUUAAUAAUCUGGAGUGAGGGAAAAAAAACACAAAACAGACUUUAUUUGGAACUGCCACGGCUGCUGGUGCUGCAGAUGGGGACAGAGCUGGCAGCGCAGCACAUGGGGACAGUGGCCACAUGAGCUGCUGUGGGACAUGGAUGAGGAGGAGGAGGAGGAAGUGAGGAAGAGGAUGCAGAUUGAAUGUGGGAAAAUGGUAAUGCUGGAAAAGCAAGGCCUAGUCAUGCUAGUCCAGUUGUCCUCCCACAUCGAUGGGGAGAAUGUCCCCCUUGCUAAGCCCAGAGGUGGAACUUGUGUUUUGAGUCUUCAGGUGAGAAUCAGAGAGCAGUGGACUGAAAGGAGCCCAUAGGCGGUUUGCUCCCAGACUUAGCUGAAGAGGAUUAAAGCUUUUUGGCAUCUAAUUUUACACUUACUCUUUUUUUUUAAAGGGUAUGAUUUAUAAGAAGGCUGAUUAUAGCAGAGUCUCCAUGGGGCUGCUUGGACCUUUAGCUACUUUCCGCCUGCGUUGCUAGCUCCUCUGCAUCAGAUACCACCAGGCAGCACAGGGUGCAGUGGCCAUGGUGGCCAGGUUUGCUGCCAGGCGGUGCUGGCACUGCUCCUACCCACCCAGGGGAUUUCUUCCCUGACAAUUUUUGGCUCCUUCAGGUUGCUUUGUAGCUGCACAGAAUAUGUAAUGUUCCACGCUGGCGGAGAGGCUGACAGGGAAGUUAAAUACAGACUGCAAAGAUAGAUCAUCUUCCAGUAUCACUUUGGUUUUUUUUGCUGCUCUAAAAUCAUUUUGCUUGUUCCUGCAGCUCCUAUAAAGCCAGAAGAGCUCUCUAUAUUUGCUUCCCGGAUGCCUUUUUCUCCUCUGGCCUAUAACUAUAAAAGCAGCUUUUCAAGCUCCAAAUCAGAGAUAAAUUGGAAUCACUGCUGAAGAAAUAAAACACAAGACUAAUCAAAUUGUAGCGCAGGAAGCAGCCUUCAGCCAGUGCAUUUUUGAAAGCUAUUUUUAGAAUAUAUUUUUAUUUUGUCACUCCAUAUGGGAAGUCAAACCCAUAUGGUUUGGAAGAAUGGAAGGCUGGGCUUUUACGGAGCUCUCACAAACCAUCCCUCCCUGGCCUCGUACUUAAACAUGUGCUGGAAUCCAAUUGUCUGCAGUGGGAUUCAGCACAUCAGCUCCGUGCUGGCUGAGGCCUGGAGCCCUGCCUGAGGUUGUCGUGGUAUUACUCCCUCCUGAGAUGUCAAACUACUCUGUGUUCGUUAAAUCAGUCUCCAGUUAACUUAGCUCUUCUUAAUUAUGACAUUUCUAAUUCAUACAUCUUUCUUUUUUUUUCCCCAUCUCCAUUUCUUCAUCUCCCCUCCGUGGUUUGGAUGCCCUGAUGAACACGUUUGGUCCAGCGGCAGCCUGCAUGUGUAGCUGAGCAUCGCUAUCCUGCUCUGUGAACAGAACGUUGCUGAAGCCAACACCAAUGGGACACAAAAUUCUGCCCACAGCACUCCCGUGUAUGCUGAUGAGACAAGAGCUGACCAGGAAAGGUCUCAUCCAAGUGGUAAAGUGUAUUCCUUCUGCUCCCGUCUACCAACAGCUGUGCUCCCGAGGUCCCCUUUUCCAGAAGCAAGUGAAGAGCCCUCAGAGACAAUCCUCUGACCUUUUUUUGUGCGAAGCGUGAUGGCAAUUGCACUAUGCGGUGAGGAGUUCUGAAUGAUGGAAAUGCAGAGCUGUCUGCUGCGGUUUGCAUACUGCUGCCGCCACGCCGAGGAGAUCUCAUACUGAAAGUGUGGAUCACAGCUGAACCCCCAUAUGGAUUAUUUCAAUGAAAAGUCGAGAAAACAGCUAUUGAUUUUCCUUUCAUGAAUAUAAAGCAGAGAUCUUGGGUAAGAGAGGACAACAUUAAAUACAAGCACCAGAAGGGGCUGAGAGAAAGGCCUGAGGUUAGAGCAGAAAGAAAUACUUGUAUUCAGAGUUUAUAACCGUUUUGAAACAAUAACUACUGUGGUUAAACUAUUUACUUCAAUUAGCUUCGUAGUCAGGAAAACCACCGUCACUUAAAUCCCACUUAUAAAAAUGUAUUCUACACUAUUCUGAAAUCCCAGAAGACAAUAAAAUACUGUGGGCUUUCUAAUGUUUGAGGGUGUUGGGAUUAGGUGCAAGUUGCGGGUCAUUCCUAGAAACACUAUUUCAGAACAUUUGAACACUACAGCUUUUGGAUCGGUCCAUGCAGUUGGGUUAUGUGUGUUACAUAGGUUGUGAUGAAAUGGACUCAUGAUGAUGCUGCCUUUCCUGAGCUUCAUCUCCUCCAGCUGGUGAAAUCAACCAAGAGUUUGCUGUAGACUUCAUGGAGCCAGAAUUCCAUUCCAGGACAGGAACAACCGAAGUGAACUGCCACGGGAUGGUGCUCUACAGAAAUCUUAGGUGAUGCAGAAGCAAAAACUUCCUUGUCACGUAACUGAUGUCAUCAGCCCAAGGUUCCCUGAUUUCACUCCUGAUUUUCAGCUGUGUUUUCAUUCAUGUCGCAGCUCUGUGGAUAACGUGUUAAGGCGUUGUUCUUGGAAAAGGAAGAUUUAACUUUUUUAAAGAGAUGGGUGAUUUGUAGGAGACAUUUGUGUAAUUUUGUAUUCUAAACGUGAUUUAUUUUUAUAAAUAAAUUUGCAUAAAAUCUCCA